GGGGGGGCGGGACAGCAGAAUAGUCAGGCUUAGGCAAUGUCACUGACCAAGAUCUCUCAAGAUCUUCAGAAAAGGACACACCGACAUACCCAGCUCAUUGCUUCAACAUAUCACCUUGGUUUUGCCCUAACAAAAUGGAACUUUCUUAUAUUCAGAUUUCCCAUUUGAAAAUAUUUACCCAUUCUACAUUGACAGACAGAUGAUAUAAGUAUAUUCGGAUCAAGCUUACAAUCUUGGUUUUGUCGUCACAAUCAAAUCAAGAAUAAACACGUGCAAAUUUCCCCAACAACUUUCAUAAAGAGAAAAACACACCAUGUGAAUCACAGAAAGGUGGAACAAAGGCACAAAUUGAACAAUCAAGAGAUUUGACAACGAAAUAGCAACAAAAACUUAACGAGAACAAUUAACUGCAUGGAAUAGAAAUGUACCACAGAAGAUGAUACUAAUAAGGAAACUAGAAGCCUUCAGACAUACCCGAAGCAGAAGAGUCAGGAGGAGCCUGCUUUAUCACUGGAAGACUAAUACCUUAAUCACUGGGUUAUCGCCAUGUUUUUGCUAAAUUUUGUUGUUGAAUUGUACAUAUUGUUUUUUGGAGUGUUCUUGCCGAAAUUAAGAAUCAACUGGUUGGGAUAUUUGCAUUGUCCAUCUCCCUUGGAGUGCGAAUCAAGUGGCUGGCAAAACAGGGCGCUAACAUGGGUUUCGAGCUGCAAAUUUUUGUUUCCCCUCCUGCUGGUGCUUGGAAUUUGCUUUGUCAGGAUGUUUUUGAGAUCUUGUUCUCUAUAAUUUUUUUGAUAUCCUUCUUUAUUCAAAUAAAAUUAGGAUCAUGCUUUUUAGUUUGGCCAAAGGAUGUAGGAGUAGUUCUACCAGUUUGAUCCCUUCAACCCAAUUUGGUUUUAUGCUUGUGUACGUGUGGCUUGAAAUGCUCUGUUUUGUCCAUGUGCAUGUGCAUGAACAAUUAAAUCUUAGUUAUUACAGAUGGCGAGUUCAAUGUGAACUAAUUUCACCCAUAUGUAGUUAACAACUUAUUCAGGGGAAACAUUAAUUUAGUUUGGCACUGUUUAGGUGUACAAUUAAUAAAUGAUCUCAAUGUUUUGUACAUCUCUCUUACUCUCUAUUUCUUUAUAUGUCUUUGUAACAUCAGGUAGACUAUGCACGUACACCUGAGGAAGUUCACCAGCAAUUCCAAUCUUGUGCUCAGGGUAACAAUUUUGACAGACAAGUUUGGUCAACCUAAAGGAUUUUCCUAUGUUGAAUCGGUUGAAGUUGAUGCUGUUCAAAGUGCUCUACUGUUAAAUGAAUCAGAAUUGCAUGGUCAUCAGAUGCAGUCUGUUUUACUCUGUUGAGUAUGCAUUGGACAUGGGUGUCCCACAUGCUUAAUGAAAAGAUGGACUUCUGCAGCCAAUAAAUUGGAGCAAGCUGGUUUUCAGAAUAGCAUGUAUAACACCAGGGCUUCAAACUGUAAAACCAGGUUAAACAUCAACUGCUUGCUGUUGUAAUGACCGUGGUUGUGAUGUAUGCAGGGAGCAAAGCAUGAAAUAGUUCUUGUGUUUGCAGGUACGUUUGAUUCUGCAGGUACAACUAAGUUGCAAGAUGCUGGCAAAGCUGGUUUGGUCACAAUUCAAGGCAAGAAUUCAACCGUGCUUGGAACUGCACACAUUUGUUAGUGAUUCAAUAGCCAUAAAAAACUUCCGUUGAAGUCCUUUUUCUCUUUUAAUCUAACCUCAUGAAAUGGCGCAGGCGCGUAUCUGUUUAUAACUUUGUUCCCAGAUCAAGCGGAGAAGCUGCUUCAGAUGAGUCUUGCAAGGUAGCCACUGCAAAGUGAGUCCGGGUUAUACUUUACCCAACUAACAUCCGAGGCGGUCCAAAAUGAUUAUACCACCAAGAUUUGACCACCAAGAUGAUUCCUUACAAAAUUGCUUUAGUCAUCAAGCUGCCAAAUGAUUUUAUCGGCUCUCUAGGAGACCAGCUCGUGAAUAGAGAUGGUGUGUCUAGGAGAUCAUUAAGCAUCUCUUCCCAAUCGAAGAUUUCUUCUAAAGACAAGCCUCCAAGAGUAAUGGUCAAAUCUCUCAUCUACUGGAUAAUCAUGGACUGCAAUGAACCAUAUCUUCUCCUUUAUCUCUCUUUCUUUCUUUGGUUUCAAGAUUUCACUACGGUUAUAAAUAAAUUGUUUCUGAUAUUUGAAUCUUGCAGGCUGCACCAACUAGUCCCUCUAGGCCGGCUCUUGAAGCACCAGCAAGAACACGAUCAAGGGUUAGAUAGUUGUGCUGAAGUGUCAGAUAAUACUUUUCUACAGUUGGUUUGAGAGUUGAGAGCAUAAAGCAUAAAAUUUGGUUAUCUGAUUGGUUCUCUGAUUAAUGACUUCCAGCAUCCUAUUUAAAUUGCCAGCCAUAUAACUUAUUUCAUUGCUCUAAAAAUGUCAAACCGACUAACCGAAUUUGACCGGUUCGAAAAGUUCUUAGCUUCUUAGGAAGAAGUUCUUAGCUUCUUCUUUAUUGCUCUAAAAAGUUCGUUUUUAUUGCUCUAAAAAUGUAAUAUAUUUAUUAGUUUGAAUAGGUGAUAAACAGUGAACCUGUCUCGGGUGGCUCUGCUGCAUCUGUAUCAACCUGGGAAUGUGUUGUGUCACCUGGAAGCGAUACUUGUGGAAGCGUGAGGCAGACAUUAUCUUGCGGCCAAGUUGGCUUGAAGCCUGAUUGCGCAUAGAAACUAUUUGAUAAAAUGCUUAAGAAAAGCUAGUGUCUAUUGCUGCCUGACAUUGUUCCGCUCAGAAAUUUGACAUAUUAAGUUGGCAAUUUUUUAUAAGAAAAAUCUUUAGGCUUUCAUUCUUGCUAAUACUUUGAUGACUGCAAAACCAUUCUUAAUAUCUAAACUGUUUAUAACAACAUAUCUAGGAGUUUUGUUUGGACUGUAUUGAGGAAAAUGUUUUUCUAAUGUUUUCCUAACUUUGAAGAAAUUGGAUCGGAUUGGAUAAACACAGAAGCUCGUCCUGAGGAUCCGUUAGUUUCAAUCCUGGAAUUAGUUUGUCUGAACAAUAAAGAUGUUAACAUAGAAUAAGUAGAAAAAUGUGCUUUUGAGGUUUGAUGCUAGCAGGAGAAAAGCUUAGUCAAAUGGAAGAGGCGAACGAGUCGAAUUCCGGCAUUGUUUAACAUGCAGUGUUGAAAGCUGGCAACAUGAGAUUCCAGGCUGUUUGAUGUUGGAACCGGUGACAAUCGUUAUCUUCCAAAUGGAGUUGUGCUUGGUGAGGUUAUAUUCCCAGUUUAGUAAGGGUGUGAUUUAGAGGGGAUAGCUAGUAGCUUUAAGCAUUUGUAUUCUGAGAGCAAGUAGAUUUUCAUGUAUCUAGAGAGUCGUCGGAUUAUCGCAUCCUUUCAUUGGAGACUUGUGAGAUCUUCUUUUAUCUUUGUGUAAUCAUGCAACUCUCUCCGUGUAAUCCUAUGUUAAAUGUUAGUAGCUCUGUAUUAGGGAGUGAGCGUCGAAUAUUCGAUAUGUUGGAUAUGAAUAUGUUUCAUUCAUUGUGCUCUUAAGUUAUGUGAAUUGUAUUCAUAUAUUCAAUAUAUAUGAGUGGUUUAUGAUC